GAUGCACCCAUCUCCAUCGUGCCUUUCAUUAGGCGGACUGAUCCUUCCUCUUCCAUCUCCACCGUCGAUUCUGUUGACGUUGACUUGUUCUCGUACGCCGCGUAUAGAAUCAACUGCACUGACCCCAACAAGAAGCCUAUUGAAUUUGGUACCUGUAAUUUUACAAUUUUAUUAAUUAGGCUUUUUUUUUUAAUUUUUAUAAGUACAAAUAAUAAAAAUCUAUGAUUAAAUUGAAUAUAAACAGAGAACUUACUCCGAUAUAAAUAUCUUUUACAAGUAUAGCAUAGACUGACCAGACAACAGCGUUGAAAAAUAAAAAAAACGAGAGUAGAAACGGCAUGUACUUUACACUCUUCGUCUUUACUACUGCUCUCUGUUUCAAAUUACUACGAUCAAUUAGAAAAAAAACGCUCAAUGAUUAUAGUAAAUAAGCUAGUUUUAAAUAUUUUGUCACGUACCAUGACGGAUAAAGGAGAAGCAUACAUGCCAAUGGUGAAUACGGCACAUAAAAUUCCGGCGAACGUUAGCCGGAGAUUUUCAUGCAUGGCUAAGAGAGUAACUAGGAUUACCGAUCCAAGAAAACCGACAUUUAGUACCACGAUCGAUCUCGCUGUCUUAACCUAAUCGCACACAUGCACAAGUUUAAUUGUAAUAAGUUCGAGUUUACGAAAUUAAUCAUAAUUACUAUUGUUUUAACAGUAAAAUAUGAUGAUUAGUGUUGUUUAAUAGUGAUUUAAUUACGUAAAUUUAAAUACGGUGAUGUUAAUUUAAUUUUAGUAGUAUUUUAAUUUGAAGUGACCUUAAUGUUUUUAGGAGCAUAAGCAAGGAAGAGGGCGACGUAGACCAACUGGAAGACGACGCCGGCGCCGUUGACGGUGACGACAAGCAAGCCUCCCGGUUUGAGAAGUCCAUAGAAACUCCACAAGCUUGUACUCAGCAGUGUCGUUAUGUAUGGAUCUCCU
rnacentral:lncRNA from 1 species